rnacentral:rRNA from 1 species
CGAACGAUGAUCCGGUGCUUGCACCGGGGAUUAGUGGCGAACGGGUGAGUAACACGUGAGUAACCUGCCCUUAACUCUGGGAUAAGCCUGGGAAACUGGGUCUAAUACCGGAUAUGACUGAUCAUCGCAUGGUGGUUGGUGGAAAGCUUUUUGUGGUUUUGGAUGGACUCGCGGCCUAUCAGCUUGUUGGUGAGGUAAUGGCUUACCAAGGCGACGACGGGUAGCCGGCCUGAGAGGGUGACCGGCCACACUGGGACUGAGACACGGCCCAGACUCCUACGGGAGGCAGCAGUGGGGAAUAUUGCACAAUGGGCGCAAGCCUGAUGCAGCGACGCCGCGUGAGGGAUGACGGCCUUCGGGUUGUAAACCUCUUUCAGUAGGGAAGAAGCGAAAGUGACGGUACCUGCAGAAGAAGCGCCGGCUAACUACGUGCCAGCAGCCGCGGUAAUACGUAGGGCGCAAGCGUUAUCCGGAAUUAUUGGGCGUAAAGAGCUCGUAGGCGGUUUGUCGCGUCUGCCGUGAAAGUCCGGGGCUCAACUCCGGAUCUGCGGUGGGUACGGGCAGACUAGAGUGAUGUAGGGGAGACUGGAAUUCCUGGUGUAGCGGUGAAAUGCGCAGAUAUCAGGAGGAACACCGAUGGCGAAGGCAGGUCUCUGGGCAUUAACUGACGCUGAGGAGCGAAAGCAUGGGGAGCGAACAGGAUUAGAUACCCUGGUAGUCCAUGCCGUAAACGUUGGGCACUAGGUGUGGGGGACAUUCCACGUUUUCCGCGCCGUAGCUAACGCAUUAAGUGCCCCGCCUGGGGAGUACG